UACGUAGGGUGCAAGCGUUAAUCGGAAUUACUGGGCGUAAAGCGUGCGCAGGCGGCUAUGCAAGACAGAUGUGAAAUCCCCGGGCUCAACCUGGGAACUGCAUUUGUGACUGCAUGGCUAGAGUACGGUAGAGGGGGAUGGAAUUCCGCGUGUAGCAGUGAAAUGCGUAGAUAUCAGGAGGAACAUCGAUGGCGAAGGCAGCCCCUUGGACCUGUACUGACGCUCAUGCACGAAAGCGUGGGGAGCAAACAGG
rnacentral:rRNA from 1 species